AGCAGCCGCGGUAAUUCCAGCUCCAAUAGCGUAUAUUUAAGUUGUUGCAGUUAAAAAGCUCGUAGUUGAAUUUCGGGAUCGACGGGUCGGUCGCGCCUCUGGUGUGUACUGGCCCUGUCGGUUUCUCCCUUCUGACGAACCACGAUGUCAUUAAUUUGGUGUCGUGGGAAAUCAGGACUGUUACUUUGAAAAAAUUAGAGUGUUUAAAGCAGGCAUUCGCUUGAAUACAUUAGCAUGGAAUAAUGAAAUGGGACGUUUGAUCUUAUUUUGUUGGUUUCUAAGAUCGACGUAAUGAUUAAUAGGGAUAGUUGGGGGCAUUAGUAUUCAAUUGUCAGAGGUGAAAUUCUUGGAUUUAUUGAAGACUAACUACUGCGAAAGCAUUUGCCAAGGAUGUUUUCAUUAAUCAAGAACGAAAGUUAGGGGAUCGAAGACGAUCAGAUACCGUCGUAGUCUUAACCAUAAACUAUGCCGACUAGGGAUCGGAUGAUGUUAAUUUUUAAUGUACUCAUUCGGCGC
rnacentral:rRNA from 1 species